rnacentral:misc_RNA from 1 species
GAUGAAGAACGUAGUGAAAUGCGAUAAGUAAUGUGAAUUGCAGAAUUCAGUGAAUCAUCGAAUCUUUGAACGCACAUUGCGCCCCCUGGUAUUCCGGGGGGCAUGCCUGUUCGAGCGUCAUUUCAACCCUCAAGCUCUGCUUGGUAUUGAGUCCAUGUCAGCAAUGGCAGGCUCCAAAAUCAGUGGCGGCGCCGCUGGGUCCUGAACGUAGUAAUAUCUCUCGUUACAGGUGCUCGGCGUGCUUCUGCCAAAACCACAAUUUUUCUAUGGUUGACCUCGGAUCAGGUAGGGAUACCCGCUGAACUUAAGCAUAUCAAUAAGCGGAGGA